rnacentral:rRNA from 1 species
CCUACGGGUGGCAGCAGUGGGGAAUAUUGCGCAAUGGGCGAAAGCCUGACGCAGCGACGCCGCGUGAGGGAUGAAGGUCUUCGGAUCGUAAACCUCUGUCAGCAGGGAAGAACGGUCACUGUGCUAAUCAGCAGUGAAUUGACGGUACCUGCACAGGAAGCACCGGCUAACUCCGUGCCAGCAGCCGCGGUAAUACGGAGGGUGCGAGCGUUAAUCGGAAUUACUGGGCGUAAAGCGUUCGUAGGCGGUAUGGCAAGUCAAGGGUGAAAGUCCCGCGCUCAACGUGGGAGCUGCCUUUGAAACUGGCAGACUGGAGUGUGUGAGAGGAUAGUGGAAUUCCUGGUGUAGGAGUGAAAUGCGGAGAUAUCAGGAGGAACAUCAGUGGCGAAGGCGACUAUCUGGCACAUAACUGACGCUGAGGAGCGAAAGCGUGGGGAGCAAACAGGAUUAGAUACCCCAGUAGUC